rnacentral:rRNA from 1 species
UACGUAGGCAGCAAGCGUUGUUCGGAAUUACUGGGCGUAAAGGGUGCGUAGGCGGCUUUUUAAGUUUGGUGUGAAAUCUCCCGGCUCAACUGGGAGGGUGCGCCGAAUACUGAGAAGCUAGAGUGUGGGAGAGGAAAGUGGAAUUCCUGGUGUAGCGGUGAAAUGCGUAGAUAUCAGGAGGAACACCGGUGGUGUAAACGGCUUCUGGACCAUAACUGACGCUGAGGCACGAAAGCGUGGGUAGCAAACAGG